rnacentral:rRNA from 1 species
GACAGAGGUGCCAAGCGUUUAGGCGGAAUCACUGGGCUUAAAGCGUGUGUAGGCGGAUUCCUAAGUACCUUGUGAAAUCCCCCGGCUCAACCGGGGAACUGCUUGGUAUACUGGGUGUCUUGAGCCAACUAGGGGCUGCCGGAACAAGUGGUGGAGCGGUGAAAUGCGUAGAUAUCACUUGGAACGCCAACGGUGAAAACAGGCAGCUGGGGUUGUGCUGACGCUGAGACACGAAAGCCAGGGGAGCAAACGGG